AUCACAGGGCAUUCACAGAUCCCUCUGCACAUGUCUACAGAUCAUUUUGGGACUAUCUUUCCGCAGAGUGUGUGACUACGAUCCACAUGUGUAGUCAGCCAAUCAGGGGUAUUGCUUCAAUGUGAUGUCACGUCCCCUCAAUAAGCCCUUUUCAAAGUAAGAGCUAACGCUUCUCGGAUAGGUGGGUUGGGCUCACUGCCAGUUGCUGGUGUCACCGCACUGACAGGCGGGCAGAGCCUCUGCAGACACAGCCUGGGCAGUGCUGGGGAAGGAAGGACGGACGGACCGACGGACACUCUCAAGAUGGGUUGUCAGAAUCCUGACCGGAGGCGCCCAAUCCGUAUCCAGAACUGCCAAACUGCUGUGGUUGUGUUUGUUUGUUUUGUUCUUUUAAGAACUUGAUGGCUUUAUCCAGUUUGAUAUUAAAUUUGUUAUGAACUUUAA